AGCAGCCGCGGUAAUUCCAGCUCCAAUAGCGUAUAUUAAAGUUGUUGCAGUUAAAAAGCUCGUAGUUGAAUUUCGGGGUUAGUAGGUUGGUCAUGCCUCUGGUAUGUACUGGUCUCACUGAUUCCUCCUUCCUGAUGAGCCGUAAUGCCAUUAAUUUGGUGUUGCGGGGAAUUUGGACUGUUACUUUGAAAAAAUUAGAGUGUUUAAAGCAAGCUAACGCUUGAAUACAUUAGCAUGGAAUAAUGAAAUAGGACGUUCGAUCCUAUUUUGUUGGUUUUAGGAUCAACGUAAUGAUUAAUAGGGAUAGUUGGGGGCAUUAGUAUUCAAUUGUCAGAGGUGAAAUUCUUGGAUUUAUUGAAGACUAACUACUGCGAAAGCAUUUGCCAAGGAUGUUUUCAUUAAUCAAGAACGAAAGUUAGGGGAUCGAAGACGAUCAGAUACCGUCGUAGUCUUAACCAUAAACUAUGCCGACUAGGGAUCGGAUGAUGUUAAUUUUUUAAUGACUCAUUCGGCGCCUUACG
rnacentral:rRNA from 1 species